GUUCAAUCCUUUUCCCAAUUUGCAUAUAAACUCAUUUGCAAAAACUGAAAGAAAAUCUAUUCCUAGCUAUGCCUACUGUACACAAAAUCCCUGGCAAUAUUCCUAAAUACAAUUUGAAAAAAACUUCCAGCUAUUACAUUUAAAAUAAAGUACCGUAACAUCAAAAGCAGUGAUUUUUUUUUGUAAAGUGCACUUUUGGGAAAGACCCACAUUCAUUUUCCAUACACA